rnacentral:rRNA from 1 species
CGCAUGCUACCCCACGCUUCCAUUAUCAAACGGACGUUGCGGUCAAUGGAUUCCGUUCAUGGACCACGCCUGGCUGAGGGUCGGUAGCUAAAACUGAAAUGUGUUUUGCGUUUCGGUGGUGGGAGCUUCGCUGAUGGUGCGGUUGCGGCCGUCCGGGCGUCUCCUGAAAUGAGCUCCGUGAGGAGCUGGACUAGUCACCUAGAAAACGGCGGUGUCGCGUCACGGCGGUUGUUUUCGGUGGUCCGCGCAGCGUCUUAGUAUGCUGGCGCCGGUUGCCCCGGGCCUCUCGCUUAGCGUAUCAUCCCGUAGUGACAUUUUCAUAUUUCCUAACACGACCUCAGAGCAGGCGAGACUACCCGCUGAAUUUAAGCAUAUCAAUAAGCGGAGGAA